UGGGGAAUUUUGGACAAUGGGCGAAAGCCUGAUCCAGCAAUGCCGCGUGUGUGAAGAAGGCCUUCGGGUUGUAAAGCACUUUUGUCCGGAAAGAAAUCCUUGGCUCUAAUACAGUCGGGGGAUGACGGUACCGGAAGAAUAAGCACCGGCUAACUACGUGCCAGCAGCCGCGGUAAUACGUAGGGUGCAAGCGUUAAUCGGAAUUACUGGGCGUAAAGCGUGCGCAGGCGGUUUGCUAAGACCGAUGUGAAAUCCCCGGGCUCAACCUGGGAACUGCAUUGGUGACUGGCAGGCUAGAGUAUGGCAGAGGGGGUAGAAUUCCACGUGUAGGCAGUGAAAUGCGUAGAGAUGUGGAGGAAUACCGAUGGCGAAGGCAGCCCCCUGGGCCAAUACUGACGCUCAUGCACGAAAGCGUGGGGAGCAAACAGGAUUAGAUACCCUGGUAGUCCACGCCCUAAACGAUGUCAACUAGUUGUUGGGGAUUCAUUUCCUUAGUAACGUAGCUAACGCGUGAAGUUGACCGCCUGGGGAGUACGGCCGCAAAGAUUAAAACUCAAAGGAAUUGACGGGGUCAUAGCUGUUUCCU
rnacentral:rRNA from 1 species